CGCUAGCGGCAGGCCUAACACAUGCAAGUCGAGGGGCAGCAGGGGGUAGCAAUACCCCGCUGGCGACCGGCGGACGGGUGCGUAACGCGUAUGCAACCUACCCGUAACAGGGGAAUAACGGAGGGAAACCUCCACUAAUGCCCCAUAUGGUCAGGGGACCGCAUGGUUUCGUGACGAAAGCUUCGGUGGUUACGGACGGGCAUGCGUGGCAUUAGGCGGUUGGCGGGGUAACGGCCCACCAAACCUACGAUGCCUAGGGGAGCUGAGAGGCUAAUCCCCCACACUGGUACUGAGACACGGACCAGACUCCUACGGGAGGCAGCAGUGAGGAAUAUUGGUCAAUGGACGGAAGUCUGAACCAGCCAUGCCGCCGUGAAGGAAGACGGCCCUAUGGGUUGUAAACUUCUUUUAGCCGGGAGUAAUAAGGCGCACGGGCUGCGCCGAUGAAAGUACCGGCGGAAUAAGCAUCGGCUAACUCCGUGCCAGCAGCGGC
rnacentral:rRNA from 1 species